rnacentral:rRNA from 1 species
GACAGAGGUCCCGAGCGUUAGGCGGAAUCACUGGGCUUAAAGCGUGUGUAGGCGGAUCGUUAAGUGCCUUGUGAAAUCCCACGGCUCAACCGUGGAACUGCUUGGCAUACUGGCGGUCUUGAGCAACCUAGGGGCAAGCGGAACAAAUGGUGGAGCGGUGAAAUGCGUAGAUAUCAUUUGGAACGCCAAUGGUGAAAACAGCUUGCUGGGGGUUUGCUGACGCUGAGACACGAAAGCCAGGGGAGCAAACGGG